AGGGUGUCCGGUCACAUAUCCGGCACAAAGAAACGAACAAUGUGAAUUUAUGUUGCUUGUUUGUUUUAUAGUAAUUGUUCGUUUGACUGUUGUAUAUAAGGCCAGAAUUUCUUGUCUGGAUUUCUUUUCCGAUCGUGAACGUUGAAGAGAAUAGUAGUGCGCGCGUGUGAAAAUUUUAAACUUGUAUGGUUAAAAGCAUUGUUAGUAAAAGUUAGUAUGAAGGUGUUAAUUGUUUGAAAGUCAUGCAGUUGUUAGUACGUUAUAAAAGCUUAACACGAAAAGAACACCGACAAACAAGUUAAAAGUGAUGGCCAUCCCCAAUGAAGCCGAGACCCACAUCACGCACAUCCGAAUCCGGAACAAUGAGAGCAAGUACCCUUAAUUAUGUGACGUCACACAAAUAAAUAAUUGUAAAAUGCUAAAUGUA